rnacentral:rRNA from 1 species
CAGCCGCCGCGGGAAUACGAGGGGGGCAAGCGUUGUUCGGAAUUAUUGGGCGUAAAGGGCGCGUAGGCGGUUUGACAAGUCUGAUGUGAAAUCUCUGGGCUCAACCCAGAGUCUGCAUCGGAAACUGUCGAGCUUGAGUAUGGGAGAGGUGAGUGGAAUUUCCGGUGUAGCGGUGAAAUGCGUAGAUAUCGGAAGGAACACCUGUGGCGAAAGCGGCUCACUGGACCAUUACUGACGCUGAGGCGCGAAAGCUAGGGGAGCAAACAGGAUUAGAUACCCGAGUAGUCCCUGUCUCAUACAC